GCCCCGUUAGCUCAGUGGUAGAGCUCCUGUUUGUAUGUUGAGCGAAAUCGCUUACAAUAACUGCAAGGAGAUCGCAGAUUCGAAUCCUGUCCGGUGGCU